GUGGCUCAGUUGGUUAAGCAACUGACUGGCUCAGGUCACAAUCUCGCAGUUUGCCAUUCGUGGGUUUGAGCCCCGCGUUGGGCUCUGUGCUGACAGCUCAGAGCCUGGAGCUGCUUCAGAUUCUGUGUCUACCUCUCUCUCUGCCCCUUCCCUGCUCAUGCUCUGUCUCAAAAACAAAUAAACACUUAAAAGAAAACAACAACAAAAAGAUCUGUGAGAUAAAAUGAAGGGGUUGUAGUCUGGUCCCAUUCUUCUCUGGGCUGGUCAGCUCCCUUCCUGAGCACUGGAGUCAUGCUGGGGUCUCACUGUGAGACUGACCUGUCGAACCAGACCCCAUUCAGACAAUGAGAAACUGCCACAUGAGAGUAGGUAAGAAGAAUCUAGAGCAUGUAGUCUAGAGAAAAACAAUUCAGGAGUGACACACUACUCAAGGUCCUCCACAUUCCUGAGGGCAGACUCAGUGUGUGGACAUUACAGGGAGAGAGAUUUCAGCUUCAAACCCAAAAGAAAUGUUUAAUAAUUCUGAGCGGGCGUUGGCUGAAUCAGGACACAAUGCAUUCUCUGGAGCUGGUGUCUCCACGCAGAAGCCAGGACAUUACUCAGGACUCCCGAAUGGGGCUGAGCACGUGAGCCGCUAAAACUGCGUGUGGGGGAGCUAGCUCCCCAUCUCAUCCCGUCACAUCGUGGAGGAAGGGGCGUCUGCAACAAGGGCCCUAAGGCUGGGGAAGGAGGAGAUGCCUUUUGCUUCUGGAGGACGGGUGCCAUGCUCAAAGCAGCCCAACCAUGACUCACACAUCCAAAUGAGGCUGCUGCCUUAUAAGGAGGCACUUUGAAGGCUAUUAUUCCAAGGAGCCUGCCACCUCCCGAAGCAUUUUUAGAACUCCUGCUUUGAAUCACUACCAGUGUCAAGAUGGUGAAUCCUCACACCUCCUAGGAGCAGUUAUUUUUGGAAACAAUGAAAGUCAGGAAAGUAUCCUUGGGAACAGAGGUGGUGCUGUGCAGAGGCGAGCCUUCAGGGUUUCAAGUGCUUGGACCUCGCCCAGCUCUGGCCGGGUGCCGGGAAUUGAGAUGGUGUCAGGUGACAAGAGGCCACCUUCCCUGCAGCUGGCCUCCUCCUCAGGCUGUGAUGAAGGAGUCAGAAUACCUGCAACGGCCACACAACCACGAUGACCGCAGACUCCCCAGCAACCACAACUGCAGCCACCACACUGUGGGGCCAUAUGACCAACAUCAGCAAUUGCUACGGUAAACUGCAGCAAGCACACAAGCACACAACAGCAGUCGCAACCACCCCAUCUGCACGACCACACAACACCCACACAAGCACCGCGACCUGCAGCAACCACUGCGUCAGUGGCCAUUUAUCAACUCUGUCUCAUGUUCCGACUUGAGACCCGGAAAGGGAGGUCUGCCAUGCCUCCCAAGACAGAUCAGCAGAGGCCUGGGAGGCUUCUUGGACCUUUGGGUGGGAAUGAGCCGGUGGGAACUUGGACCAGGUGAGUUGGGUUUAUGACGUGGACUCCUCUGUCUCUGAGGGGAGGUGUGGUCCCUUGAGGACUUCCAAGUCAACUUGGCUCUAAGCCCUAGAGGAGGGGGCAUCUUUCUCACUCCCUUUCCUGAAAGACGGGGGCACCUGUCUUAUUUUCCUUCCUGGGGACCCCCUGUGAUGCUCAGUGCUGAACUCUGAGCAUAAAUGGUACUUUCUGAUUGGAGGGGAUGGGACCGAGCAGCCAGCUUUCCUCUCAUUACGGCGUCCUAUUUCCCGUGCAUCACCGGAAGGAGUGGGCCUCUGGUCAUUUGAAAACCAGUCUCCACGAGGGGGAUGGAGGCAGCAAGUUCUUGACCAGAACCUGCCAUGUACCAUCAGUACAAUCCCGUAGAAAGCCUCUUUUUUUUUUAAAGUUUAUUUUUGAGAGAGAGAGAGAGACAGAAAGAGAGAGAGAGACAGAGACAGAGCAAGAGCUGGGAAGCAGCCAGAGAGAGAGGGAGACACAGAAUCUGAAGCAGGCUCCAGGAUCCGAGCUGUCAGCACAGAGCCCGAUGAGGGGCUCAAACUCAUGAGAGGUGAGAUCAUGACCUGAGCCGAAGCCAGAUGCUUAACUGACUGAGCUACCCAGGCUCCCGAGAGUCUCUGUUCUAUACAGCCCAGCACUGGUGCUGGCUGUCCAGCUCAGUGAAAGGCAUGGUCGAGAUAGGACUGUGCACAGAGAAACUAUUCAGACUCUCAAGGCAGCUGGUGCCCUGAUGGAGGGAGUGCCACCGACAGCCAUGGCCACAGUGCCUGGGGAGGGGUACGCUGAUGCUUGGGGCUCUGAGGAAGGCUUCCCAGAGAAGGUAGAGCUUGAUCCUGCUGUAAAGGAAGGAUUUCACUCACCCAAUAGAGAGAAAGAGAAGGCAUUCCAGGAAGGGGAACAACAUGAGCAAAAGCCCAGAGGCUUUAUGAAAUUUGGUGGAGUCACUGAGUGGUGGGAGGUAGGAGGGCAGGAAGGAGGACGUAGGAAGGUGGAGGAGGUCAGAGGCUGGAGGGGGAGCAUCUUGGGAUGCGCAGUCCUGUGGGCAAUGGAGACACUGAAGGUUUUUCUGAGAGAUGGGCAGCAACAUAUACCAGGCAGCAUCCCAGGAUGACUUUUUAGCGGCCUUGUGUGGGCGGCUAGUGUGUUGUGCUUAAGGGUGUUGUGGGAGAAACAGGUUAGGUGCAGUGAGAGGCUGGGACUUGGACUCAGUAUCCCCAGUGGGAGUGGAAGGUAGGGCAGGAGUGGGCAGGAAGGACACGAGAGAAUAGACAGGGUCUCACAGCAGCCUGGGUGAGUCAAGGCAGGGUGAGUCAAGGAUGAUGGCUCCAAGGGAUGGUGUUUGGGCUACUGAAUGGGGGUACUCAGUUCGUGGGGAGAGAUGUUGUGCUUGUGCAGUACUGGAGGUAGGGCUGUGACCGUGGGGGGAAGUCCAGGAGGCGGCUGGCUAUGCAGCCCAGAAGAAAGGGGUGAUGUGGGGUGCAGUUAGGCGGCGACACUAGAAGAGAAGGGACCAGGGGUGAAAGAGUGCCAGAGAGAGAAAAGCAGAGGGGCGGGUAGAGAACCGGGACCCAGCUGCAGGCACAGGAGAGAGUGUGAGAGUCUGAGGCCAAGGGGAGGUGAGGGGGAACCAUGGCCAGAAGCCUCAGUCUGGAGAGUGAGGCUCCAGCUGCCUGGGUGCCACAGAGGCUCCCUCUCGCUUCAGUGCCUUCCC